ACAACGGCUCUUUUAAGAGCCACCUCAACUACAUCUGAGAGAAAUU
rnacentral:ncRNA from 1 species